rfam:Dendroctonus ponderosae Seq01038586, whole genome shotgun sequence.
AAAACGGUUCUUUUCAGAACCACAGAUUCAAAUCUAAGGAUCACG